GACAUGGAGGAAAUGUCCUGGAAAGCAUUGUCAGACUGGUCCACCCAAGACUCACUGGACGUUAAAAAUGCAACUUCUUCAAUGGUAUUCGAUUUUACUGCAAAACAUCUCUUUGGUUAUGAUCCGGAGAAAGCUAAAGACAAGAACAUGAGCGAGAGGUUCACUUACUUCCUCCAAGGUCUAAUGUCAUUCCCGCUUAACAUCCCGGGAACCGCUUUCCACAAAUGCUUGGAAGUAAGAACAAUUAUUUUCAACUUACUUGAAAGGCCUCACCAGGAAACUUUAAUUUCUCUAUGAUAUGCAGGCUCCACAAAACUCUUGGAAACAGUUCACUUAAAAAUUAUUUUGUCAGGUUUUGAGAUCCAAGACACACGAUCAUGUAUUUCAUGUUCAAACUAAUUUUAAUUAAGAUAAGCUGACUUGUGUUUGUGUCCAGAAUCAAAAGAUGGUUCUUAGGCUGAUGAAGGAUCUCAUAGACGAGAGACGAGCUAUGCCCGAGAAACACAGAGGGAAUUUCAUAGAUCAAAUGAUUGAUGGCAUAAAGACUGAGAGCUUCUUGUCCGAUGAUUUUGUCAUGUAUGUGAUGUUUGGGAUCCUCUUUGCAAGUUUCGAGACGAUAGCAUCUACUUUAACCCUUGCCAUUAUGUUUCUAAUCGAACAUCCUAUGGUUGUAAAAGAA